UAAUUAAUAGAUUUCAUAUUUUGUAGAUUUAAGAGCAGAGCUACAAAGUUGAUAUUAUAUUUUUUAAAUAAGAAAUCAUAGGUGUUGGCUGUGAAGAGGGUAUGGAGUAAAAAUGUCAUAAUUAUAUAUGUAACAAGUGCAGAUACUGGACUUGGGUUGAGGAUGAUGCUAAUCCAUAGAAGAUAAAU